AACGCUGGCGGCAUGGAUUAGGCAUGCAAGUCGAACGGGAUCCUUCGGGAUCCAGUGGCGGAGGGGUGAGUAACACGUGAGCAACCCGCCCCCAAGGCCGGAACAAGCGCUGGAAACGGCGUCUGAAACCGGAUGAGGACCCCCACCGCAUGGCGGGGCGUCCAAAUAUUCAUACCCUGGGGAUGGGCUCGCGGCCCAUUAGCUUGUCGGCGGGGCAACGGCCCACCGAGGCGACGACGGGUAGGUGGUCUGAGAGGAUGGUCACCCACACUGGGACUGAGACACUGCCCAGACUCCUGCGGGAGGCUGCAGUCGAGAAUCUUCCGCAAUGGGCGCAAGCCUGACGGAGCGAUGCCGCGUGAGGGACGGAGGCCUUCGGGUCGUGAACCUCUGUCGCCCGGGACGAUGGUGACGGUACCGGGAAAGGAAGCCACGGCUAACCACGUGCCAGCAGCCGCGGUAACACGUGGGUGGCGAGCGUUAUUCGGAUUCACUGGGCGUAAAGGGUCCGCAGGGGGCCCGGCGCGCCCGCCGUGAAACGCCAAGGCCCAACCUUGG
rnacentral:rRNA from 1 species